rnacentral:rRNA from 1 species
GCUUUGUUUGCGCAGGAUAGGUGGGAGGCGUUGAAGAUUUUCUUGCGGGGAGAUUGGAGCCGUUGGUGAGAUACCACUCUAACAAUGCUAGGAUUCUAACCCUAUACCGUUAUCCGGUUAGGGGACAGUUUCAGGUGGUCAGUUUGACUGGGGCGGUCGCCUCCCAAAAGGUAACGGAGGCGUGCAAAGGUUUCCUCAGGCUGGUCGGAAAUCAGUCGUAGAGUGUAAAGGCAUAAGGAAGCUUGAUUGUGAGACCUACAAGUCGAACAAAGACGAAAGUCGGCCUUAGUGAUCCGACGGUUCCGAGUGGAAGGGCCGUCGCUCAACGGAUAAAAGUUACUCUAGGGAUAACAGGCUGA